UCCCGGGUGGUUCGGAUGGUAAAGAAUCUGCCUGCGAUGCAGGAGACCUGGGUUUGAUCCCUGGUUCGGGAA
rfam:Ovis aries breed Texel chromosome 3, whole genome shotgun sequence.